rnacentral:rRNA from 1 species
UGGGGAAUAUUGGACAAUGGGCGAAAGCCUGAUCCAGCCAUGCCGCGUGUGUGAAGAAGGCCUUUUGGUUGUAAAGCACUUUAAGCGAGGAGGAGGCUACUUGGAUUAAUACUCUAGGAUAGUGGACGUUACUCGCAGAAUAAGCACCGGCUAACUCUGUGCCAGCAGCCGCGGUAAUACUGAGGGUGCGAGCGUUAAUCGGAUUUACUGGGCGUAAAGCGUGCGUAGGCGGCUUUUUAAGUCGGAUGUGAAAUCCCUGAGCUUAACUUAGGAAUUGCAUUCGAUACUGGGAAGCUAGAGUAUGGGAGAGGAUGGUAGAAUUCCAGGUGUAGCGGUGAAAUGCGUAGAGAUCUGGAGGAAUACCGAUGGCGAAGGCAGCCAUCUGGCCUAAUACUGACGCUGAGGUACGAAAGCAUGGGGAGCAAACAGG